rnacentral:rRNA from 1 species
CAGUCGCCGCGGGAAUACGUAGGGUGCAAGCGUUAAUCGGAAUUACUGGGCGUAAAGCGUGCGCAGGCGGUUAUAUAAGUCAGAUGUGAAAUCCCCGGGCUCAACCUGGGAACUGCAUUUGAGACUGCAUGGCUAGAGUGUGUCAGAGGGGGGUAGAAUUCCACGUGUAGCAGUGAAAUGCGUAGAUAUUGGGAAGAACACCGGUGGCGAAGGCGGCGACCUGGUCCUUUACUGACGCUGAGGCGCGAAAACGUGGGGAGCAAACAGGAUUAGAUACCCCAGUAGUCCCUGUCUCUUAUAC